rnacentral:lncRNA from 1 species
AAAGUUGUACUCCCAAUUGAUAACUGAGUUGGUGGGAGCAUCUAUCGUAACUACUAUUUACUCAUCAUGCUCGGGCUUGAUAUGGUGAGAGUUAACUAACUAAUGAGUUACUUGGUUGAUCAGAUUAAUAUCUUACAAUAAAAAAUGACCAAUCAUCUAAGGUUGCAUUUCUUACUAAUAUUGUCCUCACUAGCUGUUUAUAACAAGAUAUUCGUUUAUGACCUGAAUGUAUGAAUAUUCAGUGCCUUUAUAUGUUUAUAAAAUAAUACUAUUUGCGCCUUUGUGUCUAUCGCAUUUUUCAAAUAAUAUUUUUUUAUAAAAAUUAUAUUUAAUAUUUUUCGCGCGAAAACAAAUACUAGUAUAUAAUAAGAGAAAAAAAUAUCAUUUUGUGCAUAAGUGCCCCCUAUUUGCUCACAACCCUCUCUCUUCUAGGGUCUGCCGCCGCUGCCGCUCCGGCGAGCUUGGGUGGCCGGUGGACCACCAGUAUCUAAACCACUGUUGUCAUCUUUCUCCCUCGCCUCGUCAUUACAACCACUGACUUUGGCUUCACCGGAAAAUGCUUCCCAGCAUCGCUUACGUGACGAAUCGCAACUAUUGAGGGGUGGAUAUUUUUAGAUUUGGGCGGCCUUACGAAGCACCCUCCUCUUUCCCCACUGUUUCUCCCUCAUCUCACACUUAAGGCGCCGGGAACCACGGCCCCUUACUGGAAUGAGAACUCUAACAGUCAUUAGCUCUCUUGCCUUAUUUUGCAUUUUACUUUCCAGAUCUUCGGGAAAAAAAGAGAUUAAGGCUGAAAACGUUUUGCCGGAAUUUGGUUCAGAUCCAAUCGGGAAAACUCCAUUACCGGCGACCUCGUUUAUCAAGUUCUCUGUAACGUCCUUGCCUUUUUAUUUUACAGGCUAAACCGGAUCUGAGGUUGUUUGUUUUGCCGGAGUUUAUCGGAAUCUGGCCAAUUUUAUAACUUCCGGCAACCCUACUGCCGUAGUACUGUUGACUAUUUCUCCGGUGCACGUCACCGUUGAGUAGCGUCCUCAUAUUUGCGUUGCUCUGUUUUGUUGAUUUUCCUAAUCGUUUGCUAUUGAAUUUCUGUCUGUUUUGCGAUGGGUUCGAACUUGGCCGGCAAUAAUACCCCGUUCGCUUCCAUUUGAUGGUUGUCUCUAUUUGAGCUAAUGUGAAUAAUAAUUUUCUGCUCUUGGGCUCGUUUGGCUGCAUUAGUUUUGUGUAUUAGUAAUAUUUUGUUUGGUAUAUUUUUUGAACUCAUGUAUUAGUUAUGCAAACAUUAGUUAUAUAUCAUAUUUGUUAUUAUUCUAUGUAUAACUAAUGCAUAAGAAAUCAUGAUAUUAACAAUGCAAUGAGUUUUAAUGCAUGUAUGAACUUGUUAAAGACAAAGUUAACCUUUAAAAUUUAUGCUUGAUUAAAAAAUAUUAUUAUAUUAAUACAAAUUUAAAAUAAUCCAAGAAAGUAAUAAAUAAAAUUAUAUCCCUAAUAAAUAAAUAAAUACUUAACAUAUUUUUUAUAAAUAAAUAUUAAAUUUUAUAUUACAAUAUAGGUAGACAAUCAAAUAAUUUUUUAAAAUCUUUUUCAUAUAAAAAUAUUUCUCAAACGUAUGUUUUUUUUUAAAAAAGAUAAAGUGAUGAAUUCGUUAUGAGGGUAUUUUUUUAAACAAAUAAUUUUUUUAGAAGUUGUGCAAUGCUUUAAUAAAUCAAACCAAAUAAUUGAUAAGAAAUAUGUCAUCAUAACUAAUGUCAGCAUAACUAAUAUCAGUAUUACUAAUACACUCUAUUCAGUAUACAAUCUACCAAACUGGCACUUUAAUGGGUAUAGGUUGGUUCUUUGAGAUUUAUCACCUCUUUGAAAUUCCCAUUUUGGCCCAUAUGGAAUAUAGUUCCAUUUUUUGAAGCGAUAAACUUUGGUUUAAUAAUGUAUAUCACUGACUUGCCAAGUUUGGUAUGAUCUACUACUGUAUCUCCGUUUUCCUAUGAGUUGAGGGCCCUUUCCUCUUUACUGUUUUCUCCGUUUAGCAACCACUGCUGUGCAGUCCUGUUCACUGUUGGAGCUCAUUUGAUUGUUUGAGAAAAAAUGUUAUGUUGAUGGACGUAAUUAAUGUUUUUUUUUGUCAUCAAAGAGAUAUUUUUUUUUAUUAAGUAGGUAACGAGAUACAGGGGUUGCAUAGUUUGCACCCUAGUUACGUAGUUGCUAAUACAAGGAUUGUUUGCAGCACCCAAUAUGAGUUCAUUAAAAUCAAAAGUAGUACAUAUUCUAUUAGGGGGAGCGAUUGCCUGUGGUGGAUGCACAGAGGGGGAGGGGGAGUUGUAACGAUAAAGAAUACAGGCAUUGACAAAUCUUUUGUAAGUCGCUCUGGCACAGUCAGCUUGGUAGAUGGUGACAACAGGUGGGGGGCGGCAAAAAGCUCCAAGUUGCUUCCAGUUGGCAUGUGUGCUCCAUAGUUGGCUAAGUUGUCUGCUACAUAAUUUUGCUCCCGGAAUAUGUGCUGGAUGAGAGGAUCAUCGAGUUGUUAGACCAAUGACCUGCAAUCAUCAAGGAGAUUAGUGUACAAGAGGUGAUCCUUUUUAAGGAGAGAUAGUACCUCGUUUGCAUCUACUUCGAUGAGGAGUGGCAGUAGGUCAUAUUGUUUUGCUAGUUGGAGACCUAGCAUAAGUGCAUGCAGUUCAACCUCUAUAAUAGAGGUUGCUAAAAUUUGUUUGGAGAAGCCUAAACUCCAAUUCCCCAUAGAGUUGCAAAAGACACCUCCAAUACCCUGUUUUGAGAUGUAAAGGAGCCAUCUAUAUUUAACUUAUAAUGAUUAUGUGGUGGUGGAUGCCAUUUAACGUGGAGUGGGAAUUUUCGAGGCGAUCAGAGACUGUGUUUGUAAGGAAAUGGUAUUCCGAGGCCUUUGAUAUUACAAGUAGGAGACUAAUCGGUAUGUUUUUAUUUUCAAAAACAUAUUGGUUUCGAGUUAACCAGAUUUGCCAAAGGCAAAAGGAGAAGAAAGUUUUAGGAGGUAUAUAUUUAGGGCAUGCAUCAAAAGGCAGUUUGAGGAAGUGAUAUACCUAGUGGGUUUGAUUGUGGUUGUCGACCAAGAAAUUUUGGAUGGUGGUUGAGAUGUUUAGUUGCGGCCAUAGGUUGUUCGAUUUUGUUGGCCUAAGUGAAGGUUAGUUUUGAAGAUUGACAAAAGAAGCUCAGGCACGAACCAGGUCCAUCUCUUGUGUGCAUAGACACAGGCAGAUUCGAGCAUGUGGGAUGCACGUGAAGGAGAUAAGCUUAACUUGGUCUAAUUAAUAUCUCUUGAUCGAAAAGAGUUGCAUAAUUGAUAAGGAGAAGGACUCAUUAAUCAAAGAGAACACUAUCCAAGAUAAGGGAGGAGUUAGAGGUUGAGAUCAACUAGAACUCUUCCACCAAGGAAGAGUAGCAUUAGAACUCUAGUUAUUUUUUCGUCUACUAACUCUAUAUAUUGCAGAAUGUUCUCACUCUAUAGGUAACACACAAAAGCAGAAGUUAAACGUGAAUUGAGAGCAAAAUAACAAGGUAUUUUGCAAGCAGUUCGUGUGUGAUUCAAGCGUGCGAACCUGAAGCUACAUGAACUAGAUAGAAGAAUCAAUUCCGAGUGUCUGUCUUUUAUUCUAGUUCAAUUGUAGUAGGUGUUUUCAUAGUAUACCUUUCAGCUUUAUCAAGAGGCAAUUGUAAUAGGUACUCAGAGUAUUCAAGUUAGAGUUAACUUGAAGUUGUCGCAACAGUUAGAGGUUGUGUGCCACAACAGGAUUAGAGUUAAUCCUAGAUUUACAAAAGUGUUUUAUAAAUGAAGUUUUUGGCUCAGUGAUUUAGUGAAAAGUUCUGGGAAAUCCUACUGGGAAGUAGGUCGUGGAUAUUUUUUACCUUUUGAGCCAAGUAUUUUUCACGUAAAAAUCCGUGUGUUCUUUAAUUUCUGCAUUUAUUAUUCCACAACAAUAGUAUAAGGAACACAUAGAAGAAUCAGGUCCUUCUAUAAUCAGUUUAAGCGAAAAAUUAGACACCACACAAAUCACCCCCCUUCUUGUGUGGUAUUGAAGUUAAAACAUCAAUUGGUAUCAGAGCGGGUUAUCCUUGAAGAGGCUAACACCUUAGGAAAGGAUCAAGAUGAGUGCACUACCUGAAAACUGUAAAGAGCAAUCCACUACUAGGCCACCACUAUUCAAUGAUCACUACUAUUCUUUGUGGAAGGAGAGGAAAAGAGAUCACUUGCAGAUGGCUGAUGGGUGCUUCAAAUAUGGUAAAAAGAACCACAUGAUCAAGAACUGUCCUAUGUGGGAAGUCGAGUGGAAAAAGAAAAAAUCUAAAAGAAGGAACAGAAAGAAGGAACAGGUUUAUGACAAGAAUAACUACAACAAAAGGUCAUCCAAAGCAAUGGUUGCUACUUGGAAAGAUAGUUAAGAUGAGGACACUGAUGAUAAUGCUGAAUGAAUUCUCAUAGCAAUUCGAGAAUCUGAAGAUGAACCUGAUGAAGAAUCUGAGAUAAGUUUUCUAGACCUUAAGGAUAAAAUUAAACUCCUUUCUAAAGAAAGACUAUCAGAAUUGUUGCUAACUUUAAUUGAUGAAUCUAAGAAUAUAAGUUAUGAAAAAGAACAAUUGUCAAAAAAGUAUAACUUUUUAAAAGCAGAAUGCAAAAACCUGAAAAUAAACAUUUGUAAAACUGAAAAGGAAAGGGUGUGAUUGAUUUAUUUUAAUUUGGAAAGGGUGUGAUUGGAGCAAAAGUAUUCUACUGAAAGGUUUUUCAUCAGCAAGGGUUUAAUUAUCUUGGUUUAAUCAAGUUGCUCAUGGUCUCUUCCAUCUCUUUCCCCGGCGAACUCCUCGUCGACUCUCUUUCUCCGGCAACAUCCACCUUAUUCUAUACAGUACAGGGAUUAUUGUGUUCACUGAACAACAAAUUUGGAGCUUGCUAAAGAAAUUAUAAUUACGGAUAAUUUAUUUUUCAAGACGGGAUUCUUUCUUUGAGAGCUCGGAUUUUGAAGAGGAUUUAAAAUCUUGAUCUUCUUCUUGUUCGUCGUACUUGGAAUUUUGACCUGGUGUACCUGGAAGAUUUCUUCUUUUCUUGGAAGAAGAAUUGGAUAAAUUUUGAUAAAUAAAAGAAACUCUUCAGCCACCAAUUCGAACUAUAUCUUGGAGAUUUAAGUCACAAUUUCUCUUUCCAUUGAUUGAGGAUAGAUUUUUUCUUUGUAUUGUGAGAAUCGCUUUUUCUGCUGUGCAAUUACUAGUGGCUUUCUAUUUUGUGUUCCAUCAAGAAGAUCUAUACAUCUCCACUGUGACGCUACUCUGCUUUUAUUUGUAGUGAAAUUUCGGUGAAAUUGACAAAUCGCCAAAACUCUCCUACUUACGAGUUCGGGAGCAGCAGUAUUCAACAGAUUUGCAUCCGGACAUCCCCGACUGUAAUCCAGGUUCCAUCUUUCUUGAAUUUUAUUUGCGCACAUCUAUUUACUGUUGCCUUGCCGGCAAUUUUGAUUGGAUUGAUUGCUUUUUCUAUCUUUUCUACUAGUGUUUUAAGCUUAAGGUUUCAUAUAUUUAUUUUAAUUUUGUGCUUGCAUAGGGGUAGUUCCGUAUACGUGGUAGUCACUCCUUUGAGUUAUUUCUAGCUCACGGGUUUGUAGCUUGGAGUCCUUCAUUCCCGUUAUUGGUUCUUAGUGGUAGUGUUUACCUAAUACCUUUUGCUUAUAGUGGCGGUAGUGAACGAUGUGAGAGUAAGGUCGUGUUCUAGGGUGGGGCUAGGGGUAGGGUCCAGGGGUAGGAAAGGGGGAUAAGAAAGCCUCUAGGCUGAGAAUUGGGUCUUGGAACAUUGGGACGUUGACGGGGAAGUCUAUAGAGUUAGGUAAUAUUCUUUAGAAAAGGAAGAUUAACAUAGCGUGUGUUCAGGAGACUAGAUGGAAGGGUACUAGGGCACGAGAUAUAGACGGGUUUAAACUAUGGUACUCAGGGAGUGCUGGGGUAAGAAUGGAGUAGGUAUUUUAGUAGAUAGGGACCCUAGGGAGCUCGUAGUUGAGGUUAGGAGGGUAAAUGAUAGGUUGAUGAGUAUUAAGCUGGUAGUUGGUGGGUUUACUGUAAACGUGAUUAGUGCAUACGCUCCUCAUAUAGGUUUGGACCAGGAGGUCAAGAAGCAAUUCUGGGAGGAUUUGGACGAGAUGGUGUGUAGUAUCCGGCAUACAUAGAAGUUGUUCAUUGGUAGAGAUUUCAAUGGUCAUAUUGGGGCUAGUGCUAGGGGUUAUGAUAAUGUGCAUGGCGGGUAUGAUUUUGGGGAUAGGAAUGAGGGAGGUAAUUCACUGUUGGAUUUUGCUAGAGCUUUUGAUUUAGUUAUAGCUAACUAGAGUUUUCCGAAGAAGGAAGAGCACCUGGUCAAUUUCCGGAAUUCAAUGGGCAAGACUCAGAUUGAUUAUUUUCUCUGCAUGAAAUGCGAUAAAAGUUUGUGCACUGACUGCAAGGUCAUCCCAAGUGAGCACCUCACGACUCUACAUAGGCUCCUAGUUAUGGACCUAGGGAUCAAGAGGAGUAGGAGGAAGAGGGCGGGGUGCAGGAAACCUAAGAUCAAGUGGGGUAACUUGACCAAGGACAAAGCUCAGGAGUUAGGGGAGAAGUUGUUGGCUAUGAGGGCCUGGAUGUGUAGGGGGACGCGUCUAGUAUGUGGUUCACGACUGCGGAUUGCAUUAGGGUUGCUGCUAGAGAGGUCUUAGGGGUCACGAAGGGCUCUCCUGGGGGUCAUAUAGGGGACUGGUGGUAGAAUGGAGAGGUUCAAGGUAAAGUGGAAACUAAGAAAGCUGCUUAUUUGAAGCUAGUGGAGAGUACAAGCGAGGAGGAAAAAAGAACUUAUCGGGAGUAUUACAGAAAGGCAAAGAAAGAGGCGAAGUUAGCAGUUACGACGGCUAAGAAUGCAGCGUUUGCUCGUUUGUACGAGGAGCUCGAGGGAAAAGGUGGGGACAAGAGGUUGUACCGGUUGGCCAAAGUGAGGGAGAGAAAAUCCCAUGACUUAGAUCAAGUCAAGUGCAUCAAGGAUAAGGAUGACAAAGUGUUGAUGGACGAGGCACUCAUUAGGAGAAGAUGGCAGACAUACUUCCAUAAACUGUUGAAUGAGGAGGGGGAUAGACGCAUUGUGCUGGGUGAGUUGGAGUACUCCAAGAGUCGGCGGUAUUUUGGGUAUUGUAGGUGGAUUACGGUAGAGGAGGUGGAAGGGGCGAUGCGUAAGAUGUGCAGGGGUAGAGCGACGGGGCCAGAUGAAAUCCCGGUGGAAUUCUGGAAGAGCGCGGGGCGGGCAGGUUUGGAGUGGCUCGCUGGGCUGUUUAAUGUUAUUUUUAAGACAAAAAAGAUUCCCGAAGAAUGGAGGUGGAGUACGAUGGUUUCGCUUUACAAAAACAAGGAUGAUAUCCAAAAUUGCAACAAUUAUAGGGGUAUCAAGUUGUUGAGUCACACUAUGAAGGUUUGGGAGAGGGUGGUGGAGGCCAGGGUGAGGAGGUGCGUGUCUAUUUUUGAGAAUCAGUUUGGAUUCAUGCCGGGGCGUUCGACUACGGAAGUGAUUCAUCUGGUAAGGAGAUUAGUGAAGCAGUACAGGGAAAGGAAGAAGGAUUUGCAUAUGGUGUUUAUUGACCUUGAGAAAGCAUACGAUAAAGUUUCGAAGGAGGUCCUGUGGAGGUGUUUGGAGGUUAGCGGUGCUCCGAUAGCGUACAUUAGGGUGAUUAAGGAUAUGUAUGGUGAUGCUAAGACUCGGGUGAGGACUGUGGGUGGUGACUCAGAGCAUUUCCUUGUGGUGAUAGGGUUGCACCAGGGAUCGGCUCUUAGCCUAUUUUUGUUUGCCUUGGCGAUGGAUGUACUGUCGCAUCACAUCUAAGGGUAGGUGCCUUAGUGCAUGCUAUUUUUCGAUGAUAUAGUGUUGAUUGACGAGACGCGUAGCGGAGUUAACACGAAGUUGGGGGUUUCGAGACAGACCUUGGAGUCUAAAGUUUUCAAACUGAGUAGAACUAAGACAGAAUACUUGGAGUGAAAAUUCAGUGACGGGACCCAUGAUGCAGACGUAGAGGUUAAGCUUGAUGCUCAUGUUAUCCCUAAGAGAGUGAGUUUUAAUUAUCUCGGGUCUAUUAUCUAGGGUAACGGGGACAUUGACGAAGAUAUUGUGCAUCGCAUCGGAGCGGGAUGGAUGAAGUGGAGGCUCGCUUCCGGUGUUUUGUGUGAUAGGAAUGUGCCGCUAAAACUUAAGGGUAAGUUUUAUCGAGUGGUGGUUCGACCGGCUAUGUUGUAUGGGACUGAGUGUUGGCCACUCAAGAACUCCCACGUGCAGAAGAGCAGAGAUGAGAAUGUUGAGCUGGAUGUGUGGGUGUACCAGGAGAGAUAGGAUUAAGAAUGAAGCUAUCCGGGAUAGAGUGGGAGUAGCCUCCGUGGAGGACAAGAUGCGGGAGUCGAGGCUGAGAUGGUUCGGACAUGUUAAGAGAAGAAGCAUUGAUGCUUCUGUCACGAGGUAUAAGAGGUUGGCCAUGGAGAGUUUGAGAAGAGGUCGAGGUAGGCCUAAGAAGUACUAGGGAGAGGUGAUUAGGCAGGACAUGGCGCUGCUUCAGCUCACUGAGGACAUGACCCUUGAUAGAAGAGUGUGGAGGUCGAGGAUUAAGGUAGAAAGUUAGUGGGUAGUUUAUAGUUGUUCACUGAUAGUCUUAGUAGCAUGCAUGUCUCUUUAUAUUCUUAGAUUUUUAUUACGUUAUGUGAUUUUGUUCACCUCAGGUAUUGUAUUUUCCUGUUGCUAUUAUUGGGUACUACUUAUCCUUUAUCUCUCCGUUUUUCUUUUCUAUUCCAUCUUUCUUCCUUCCUUGCUUUCCUCUUCUUCUUCUUGCCCUUCCUGAGCCGAGGGUCUAUUGGAAAUAACCUCUCUACCUGCAUUAGUUAGGGGGAAGGUUUGUGUACAGACUACCCUCCACAGACCACACCUGUUGGGAUCAAACUGGGUUAGUUAUUGUUGUUGUUGUUGUUAAAACUGAAAAGGAAAAUACUGCUCUGAAGAACCAGGUUCAUACACUUGAUACAACUGUCUUAGAACUUAGAUCUGAAAAUAAAGUUAAAGUUAGGGACAGGAAAAGAGAUAGAAAAUGAUAUACAACUCAACCUAGAGGAUGACUUAAGGAAGGUUAAAGAUGAGUUAUACAAAAAGGAAGAAAAUGCAAGAGUUUUGAAAGAGGACUUAACAAAAGUUAAACAUGAGCUUGAUAGAACAUGUAAAUGGUAGAGGUCCACUAAUGCACUUUCAUGGAUAUAAGAACAUCAUAGUAGAAACAGAAAGGGACUUAGCUUUGGGAACUCUGCACCUGAAUGGGAUCCCAAAAAUAAGUGCCUAAAACUCCCUGAGAAUAAAAUUUUCACACACUGUGGAAACACUGGUCACUACAAGAGUGAUUGCACUGUGAAAGAAAAGGCAGAUUAAAAGAACAAAAAAUUUGUUCUAGGAAAAAAUAGGCUGCCAAGUUGGGCUAAAAGGAAUUUGAUCCAUCCUUUUGGCUAUAGAAACGGACCCAAACUAGUUUGGAUUCCUAAGACUAACCCUUGAUUUCCUUUUGCAGGUCCAAGUGAAUGGGAGCAGCCAAAUAUGGUACAUGAAUAGUGGCUACUCAAAGCAUAUGACAGGAAGAAAGAACCAGUUCCUUUCACUUGAGGACCUUAAAGGAGGUAAUAUCUCCUUUGGAAAUAGGAAAAAAUGUGAGAUCAUUGGGGUUGGAAAGGUAGGUAAGACUGAUUCUCACUCUAUUGAGAAUGUCUACUUGAUAGAUGGCCUAAAAUAUAGUCUAAUUAGUGUAUCACAACUGUGUGAUAGAGGUAACUUGGUAGCAUUCACCUCUACCAAAUGUUUUGUGAUUAAUCUUACCACCGAAAAGAUUGUUUUGCAGGGAAAAAGAGUGAACAAUAUAUAUAUUGUAGAUCUGUCUACACUUUCAGAAAAUGAACUCACUUACUUAAGUGUAUUGGACAAUGAUCCCCUCAUUUGGCACAAGAGACUUGUACAUGCAAGUCUAAGUCAACUCAAUAAAUUAGUCUCCAAGGACCUGGUGAUAGGGUUGCCUAACAUCAAGUUCAAGGAAGACAAAAUAUGUGAGUCUUGUGCAAGAGGGAAGCAGGUAACAUCGUUUUUUUAAAUGCAAGAAAGUGGUAAGUACCACCAGAACGAUGGAACUGGUCCAUAUGGAUCUCUGUGGUCCAAUGAGAACAUUAAGCAGAGGUGGUAAAACAUACGUGAUGGUUCUUGUUAAUGAUUACUCUAGGUUUACUUGGAUAUUAUUUCUAACAUCUAAAGAUGAAGCAUUUGAUAUGUUCACUUCUUUUGUUAGAAAAACUCAGAAACAGCUAGGUAAUCAACUUGCAUCAAUUAGGUCCGAUCAUUGCACUGAAUUUGAAAAUACUAAAUUUGCUGAAUUUUGUGAUGAGCAUGCCAUGGAUCAUAAUUUUUCUGCUCCUAGGACUCCACAACAAAAUGGAGUAGUUGAAAGAAAGAAUAGGACACUUGAAGAUAUGGCUAGGACUAUGCUUCUUUAUAGUAAACUGCCUCAUAGCUUCUGGGCAGAAGUUGUAAAUACUGCAUGCUACAUCAUAAAUAGGUGCAUGACUAGACCUCUUAUUGAGAAGACUCCUUAUGAGUUACUUAAAGGGAGAAAACCAAAUAUAUCUUAUCUUAGGGCAUUCAGAUGCAUAGUAAAGACUCCCUAGGCAAGUUUGAUCCCAGAAGUGAUGAGGGAGUAUUCUUGGGAUAUUCUUCACAUAGUAAAGCUUAUAAGGUCUACAACAAAAGAACUAUGCAUGUUGAAGAAAGUGAUCAUGUGGUUUUUGAUGAAACUAAUAUUUUUUCUGAGAGACAGGAACAUGAUGAUUAAGUAAUUGGGCUGGUGAGAAACUCAAAUGAAAUGACAGCCCAAACUGAAGCUGCACUAGAGGAAGGAACAUGUGAUGGAACAGGUUCUUCCACCCAGGGCAACAUGACAGGGGGAACAGAAUAAAGAGGAAAUAAUCCCCAAACAUCAAGGGAACCUAUCCAUGAACAUGUUCCACAACAACAAAAUAUUGAAGGAACAACAAAGGGAAACUAGUUGGUUGUAAAAUCUUACAAGUAUCAAAGUUCUCAUCCCAUUGAGAACAUAAUCACUUAUCCAACCUCUGGAAUCAAAACCAGAUCUUCAUUAAAAAAUCUUUGUGCUUUUGAUGUCUCCUUAUCUCUUAUUGAACCUAACAAUAUUGUUGAGGCUUUGCAGGAUGCAGACUGGGUAAAUGCAAUGCAAGAUGAACUCAACCAAUUUGAAAGGAGUCAAGUUUGGCAUCUGGUACCAAGACCUAAGGACAGAUCAGUAAUUGGCACAAAAUGGGUCUUCAGAAACAAACUCGAUAAAGAUGGAACAGUUACAAGGAGCAAGGCAAGAUUGGUGGUUCAAGGAUAUAGCCAAGAGGAGGGCAUAGAAUAUGAUGAAACCUUUUCUCCAGUCGCAAGGUUGGAAGCAAUAAGACUCCUCAGAGCCUUUGCUGCUUACAUGGAAUUCACCCUUCACCAGAUGGAUGUCAAGAGUACCUUCCUUAAUGGCUAUCUAAAGGAAGAAGUGUUUGUCAAGCAACCUCCGGGGUUUGGAAGCAAGGAAAGUCUUGAUCAUGUGUACAAACUUGACAAUGCACUUUAUGGACUUAAGCAGGCUCCAAGAGCAUGGUAUGAAAGAUUAUCAAAGUUUUUGCUUGAGCAUGACUACAAGAGAGGUAAAAUUGACAAUACUUUAUUCUUGAAAGAAAAAGGUAAAGAUCUCUUGGUAAUUCAGAUAUAUGUUGAUGAUAUUAUCUUUGGAGCAACUACUGAUAAGUUAAGUAAAGAAUUUGCUAAACUAAUGGGGAGUGAAUUUGAAAUGAGCAUGAUGGGUGAGCUUAAUUUCUUUUUAGGCUUACAAAUUAAACAAAAUUCAAAUGGAACUAUGAUUCAUCAGCAGAAGUAUGUAAAAGAGUUGCUUAAAAGGUUUAAAAUGGAAGAUUCCAAAAACAUUGACACUCCUAUUGCAAUAGCUACAAAGUUGGAUAUAGAUGAACCUGGUUCAUCUAUUGAUCAGAAGUUGUAUAGGGGAAUGAUUGGCUCAUUGUUGUAUCUCACUGCUAGUAGACCUGACAUUGUUUUAAGUGUAGUCCUUGGUGCAAGAUUUCAGGCAAAUCCAAAGGAGUCUCACUUGACUGUUGUCAAGAGAAUUUUGAGAUAUCUAAAAGGCACCACUGAUCUCUGUCUAUGGUAUCCAAAAGGUAGUAAUUUUAAUCUAGUGGGACAUAUUGAUGCUGAUUAUGCAGGUUUUCUAGUGGAUAGAAAGAGCACCUCAGAUAUGGCACACUUGCUUAGCUCAUGUCUUGUGUCUUGGGCUACCAAAAAGCAAAAUUCAGUGGCCUUAUCUACUGCUGAAGUUGAGUAUGUUGAUGUUGCUUUAUGAUGUGCUCAAUUGUUGUGGAUCAUACAUCAAUUAAUGGACUUUGGAAUUGAUGUUGUUUGUAUCCCCAUUUUUUGUAAUAACACUAGUGCUAUUAGUAUGACCAAGAACCUGGUUCAUCACAAGAGAACCAAGCACAUAGAUGUUAAGCAUCACUUUUUGAGGGAUAACUAUGAAAAAGGGUUGAUCACUGUGGAAUUUUGCGCUACUGACAAGUAAAUAACUGACAUCUUCACAAAAUCCCUAAGUAGAGAUCACUUUUAAAGGAACAAGUUAGAAUUAGGGAUAAUUAAGAUCACCUAAAAGGACCAGUUCAGAAUUCACAACGAAAAAAAAAUUGUUUUUGGUUAGAAAAUCUGAAAAUGUGUAUAUAAUUAGAUUAAUUUUUGCUCAGACUCAUACUUUCAAUAGUAUACUCUUGUGCCAUGUGUUAAAAUGACUCAUUAAUCUCUAAUGAUAUUAUCUCUAUAUUGGCAAAUUUAGACUUAUACAAAAGAAUUAUCAGUGAAGAACCUGGUUCAUCUAAGAAGGUACCGGUGAAUAGCAAGGUGCGAGCCUUGGUGCAAGAAAGUGGGGCUAAGGAUGCUGAGAUUGAGAGGCUGAAGAAAAGGUUGGCUGGGGUGGAGACUGAGAGAGAUGCUCUCAGAACUGAGCUGGCAAGAGAAAAGGAGAAAAAUGAUGGCAUUCUUCAGGAUAUGCUGAAACUCCUCCAAGCCAAACACCAAGCACCUAGUUCUUCCCAGCCUUAAGCUCCUAGCCUAGUGUAGAUCCUUCAGUGACCUAGUCUGGGAUGUUUCUUUAUUUUGCUCAUGUUUUCAGUAUUUUUAUUUCUUUUUAUGCUUUGUGGAAGAAUCAUAUCAAGUAUCAAUGAAAUUUGCUGGUUUUUGCUCUAACUGUUUGUUUAUAUUUCUUUGAUGGUUAAAAUUCUUAACUUGAUCAAUGAUGAUUAAUCCAUGAUUGCAUUUGAAGUAGCCCCAAUGGCCAUGAGUAAGUUUUAAAAUCUGGUUAUCUCACAUUUGUUAUGCAACUUUUCGAUGAUUCCAAAAGGGGGAAAAAGGUCGUGCUUUGCACUUUGAACAGUGAUGUUUAUAACCUAAUGAACCUGGUCCUUUAUGAUAAGUGGAAAUUGUUCUAAUGUUGUGUUGAUGUUGGGCUAAGUUGAAACAGGUCCUAAGCUUAUGAAAAGCACAGAGUUUGUCAUCAUCAAAAAAGGGGAUUUUGUUGGCCUAAGUGAAGGUUAGUUUUGAAGAUUGACAAAGGAAGCUUAGGCACGAACCAGGUCCAUCCUUUGUGUGCAUAGAUACAGGCAGAAUCGAGCAUGUGGGAUGCACGUGAAGGAGAUAAGCUUAACUUGGUCUAAUUAAUAUCUCUUUAUCAAAAAGAGUUGCAUAAUUNNNNNNNNNNNNNNNNNNNNNNNNNNNNNNNNNNNNNNNNNNNNNNNNNNNNNNNNNNNNNNNNNNNNNNNNNNNNNNNNNNNNNNNNNNNNNNNNNNNNNNNNNNNNNNNNNNNNNNNNNNNNNNNNNNNNNNNNNNNNNNNNNNNNNNNNNNNNNNNNNNNNNNNNNNNNNNNNNNNNNNNNNNNNNNNNNNNNNNNNNNNNNNNNNNNNNNNNNNNNNNNNNNNNNNNNNNNNNNNNNNNNNNNNNNNNNNNNNNNNNNNNNNNNNNNNNNNNNNNNNNNNNNNNNNNNNNNNNNNNNNNNNNNNNNNNNNNNNNNNNNNNNNNNNNNNNNNNNNNNNNNNNNNNNNNNNNNNNNNNNNNNNNNNNNNNNNNNNNNNNNNNNNNNNNNNNNNNNNNNNNNNNNNNNNNNNNNNNNNNNNNNNNNNNNNNNNNNNNNNNNNNNNNNNNNNNNNNNNNNNNNNNNNNNNNNNNNNNNNNNNNNNNNNNNNNNNNNNNNNNNNNNNNNNNNNNNNNNNNNNNNNNNNNNNNNNNNNNNNNNNNNNNNNNNNNNNNNNNNNNNNNNNNNNNNNNNNNNNNNNNNNNNNNNNNNNNNNNNNNNNNNNNNNNNNNNNNNNNNNNNNNNNNNNNNNNNNNNNNNNNNNNNNNNNNNNNNNNNNNNNNNNNNNNNNNNNNNNNNNNNNNNNNNAACUUUAUCAAGAGAAAAUUGUAAUAGGUACUCAGAGAAUUCAAGUUAGAGUUAACUUGAAGUUGUCGCAACAGUUAGAGGUUGGGUGCCACAGCGGGAUUAGAGUUAAUCCUAGGUUUACAAAAAUGUUUUGUAAAUGGAGUUUUUGGCUCAGUGAUUUAGUGAAGAGUUCUGGGAAAAUCCUACUGGGAAGUAGAUCGUGGUUUUUUCACCUUUUGAGCCAGGUGUUUUCCACAUAAAAAUUCUUGUGCUCUUUAAUUUAUGCAUUUAUUAUUCCGCAACAGUAGUAUAAGGAACACAUAGAAGAACCAGGUCCUUCUAUAAUCAGUUUAAGCGAAAAAUUAGACAUCUCACAAAUCACUCCCCCCCCCUCCCCCUCUUGUGUGGUAUUGAAGUUAUAACAUCAGAUUUGUAGCAUUGGAAAAAGAUUUGUUGUGAGAUUUCCAGUGCCAAUCGGCAAAUGGGACAAAGGUGUGAGGUAAUGAUGGAGAGGUUGGCAAGGUAAUUGUUUGUUGGUAGUCGGCCAUGACAGCAUAUCCAAAUAAAAUGUAAUUGUUUUGGUGGAAGCUUGAGUGUCCAAAUCCAUGUAAAGGGGGGUCAGGGUGUAGUGGGGCUAAUUGAUUUGUAACUUGAUUUAACCAAAACUUUUCCCUCAACUGUAAUGGCCCAUAUGAUUUUGUCAAAUCGUAGGGAUGUGUGGGGUAGGUAUAUGCUAUGUAUUUGUUGUGUGAUAUCUUCUGGUAGUUGGAAGGAAGUGGUGUUGAAAUUCCAUCUAGCAUUUGGGAUGUGUUGGGCGACUGUGGAGAGCUCCUCAUUGGGUCGUAGUGGACCAUGGAUAAGAGAUCUAAGAGUGGUAUUAGGCUUAAUCCAAGGAUCAAACUAAAAAUUAAUAUGUUUGUCAUUUGCUAUACGCCAUUUGUAGACUUUUUGACACGUCGUCUAUCUUUUUAAAACAUUUUUUCAAGUAAAGGAGCUUUGUGGACAAAGGCCAUUUUGGCAUUUAUAUUUGGACAGUAGGACCUGCGCCCACAAUUGUAGUGGGUUAUGGAAUAUACGUCAUGUAAGGUUGGCUAAUAAGGCUUGGUUUUUGGUAUCUAGUCUUUGUAUACCCAAACCUCCCGCCAAUAUUGGAUUUGUAGAUGUGUUCCAUUUUAGAAGGUGUAGUUUUCUUUUCUGUGGGGUAGUGUCCCAGAGAAAAUUGCGCUGGUAACGGUUCAAGUGUGAUAUGAUGGUUUUGGGGACGGAGAUGUAUUGCAUAAUGUGGUUAGGAAGAGUGUUUAGAGUGGAACGAAUUAGAGUCAUUCGUCCUGCCAUUGUGAGGUAUUUGGAUUUCCAUCCCUCCAGUCGAGUUUUAAAAUUAUCUAAUAAAAAUUGGAAAUCGGCCUUUGUAGGUAUACUAGUGAAGAUGGGGAAUCUAAGGUAUUUCCCAAAUUUAUGUCCUUCUAACAUAUUAAAAUUGAGCAAAGCAAACUGUUUAUCAUGGGUCACACAGUUUUUGGAGAAGAAAAUUUUUGACUUGGCAAAAUUAAUUGAUUGGCCAGAGAUAGCAGUGCAAUGGUUUAAAGUAUCAACGAUGGUAUGGCAACUCUUCAUCGUUAAUUUGGAGGUGAGAAUGAUGCCGUCGGCAAAGAAAACAUGGGAGAUACUUGGUCCAUUUGUGGAGAGUUUGAUAGGUGAUUGGUAGUCCACAGUUGUAUUGAUUCUACGAGAGAGCAUUUCCAUCGAUAGAAUAAAUAGAUACGGAGAUAAAGGGUCGCCUUGGCGUAUUCCUCAGACUACCAUUAAUAAGGACGGAGAUUGAUGAUGUUGAGACGCAAGACAUGAUAAGUUGAAUAAGAGGUCUAGGAAAAUUCAACUGAGUAAGUGUCUAAUGUAUGAAAGACCAUUCUAGCCUAUCAAACGUGUCACGACCCAAAAUCCAUUAAAGAUCGUGAUGGUGCCGGACACCGCUGCCAGGCAAGCCAAAAAUAAAUACUUAACUUGGUUCUCAUUUUAAUAUUUUUUUGAAAAUCACAUUUCCUUCAAUUAAAUAGUAAAAGAUGGAAUUUACAAAAUAAAUAAUAAUAUUUUUAACAAUUUCAAUACAGGACAACCCAUAACCACCCCAAAACCCGGUGUCACAAGUGCAUAAGCCUCAACUAGGAAUGUAAAAUAAAAUACAAUAUCUGUCCGGAAUACAAAUUCGGACAUGAGAAAUAUAAAUACUCUGAAGGAGACUUUGCUGGCUGCGGACUCGUAACGUGGAAUGCAGCUCACACAAGUCUCCGCAAUAACUGCGCCUAUGCACCCACUAGGCCUCUAGACAUAUAUGCACCUGCACAAAAAUGUACAGCAAGUGUAGUAUGAGUACGUAAAUCAAUGCGUACCCAGCAAGUAUCCCGCCUAACCUCGAAGAAAUAGUGACGAGGGGUCGACUUCAAUACUUACUAUGGGCUAUAAAUAAAACGUUGAUGAUAUAAUUAAGCACGGCUUACAUAGAAUGGCAGUAAGCUCAAUAUCAUGAAAUAAGUAAACAAUUCUUUUGUUCAUAAGAAAUUUCCAAAUUUAUUUUCGUCAUUUAACAUUUUUGGACCUCGGGCCAAUGAAAAUAAUAUCAAUUAUUAUCAAUUCCAAAGAUAUAUCAUGCGCAAAUCAUGUCGAGAUCGUACGGCCCGCUCCAACAUAAAUAUUUAAACUGUGUACUGCCGAGGGUCGAACGGCGCGAAUCAUAGAUGCAUCUAUUUAACCUGCCGAGGCGUUCGGCCCGCUCCACAAAAGAGAAAAUACACAUUAAACAACCAAUUCAAGAUUUAUUAAGGGAAAAAUAUUUCUAAAUUUUAAAUUCUCAUUUAACGGUCAAGUAAAUGAAGUUUAACCUUUUUAAAGUUCCUUUACCAAGUUUCGAUAUGAUUUAAGCAAUUUAAAUUAACAAGUAGGAUGCAAGUAUCGCAAUUAUAACAUGAUUUGGGUCCUAGACUACCCGGACAUAACCAUAUUAGUAGCUACGCACGGACUCUCGUCACCUCGUGCGUACGUAGCCCCCACAAAUAGAAGCACAUAUUGAAUUAUUUCACAUAUGGGGUUAAUUCCCUUUUACAAGGUUAGAAAGAAGACUUACCUCGCUACGAAGUUCCAUAGCCGGCUCCCAAGCCUUUCCAACAACUCAAACCAAUGCCCAUCGCUUCAAAACUAGUCAAUAAAGGUGCAAAUCCAUAAAUAUAUACUCUAACACUCAUAAUAAUUCAAUUUAUAAUAAUUUCCAACUCCGCUCGAAAAAUCGAUAAAGCAACCCUCGGGCCCACGUGCUCGGAUUCCGAAAAUUUUCUAAGAUAAUUAUUACACAUGACCUCACGAACUCAAAUAUAUAAUUCAUUUCCAAUUCCAUCCCCAAAUUCGUGGUCAAAAUCCAAAAUACCGAUUUCUAGGUUGUUCUUCAAAAUCUCAAAUUUCUACAAAUUUUCAUGCUUGAAUCCAUGUAUAAAUCUUGUAUUAAACUCACAAUACGCGGAAAUAACUUACCUUGACAUAGAUGAUAAAAAUCCCUCCUUGAAGCUCUCCAAAAUCGCCCCAACCAAGUGAAAAAUGGGGAAAAAUGAGCCAAGUCCCGUUCUUAAAUCAAUCUGCCUAGCGAUAUUUUUGCACCUACGGAACAGUAGUUGUGCCUGCGGCGUCGCUUCUGCGGCCAUGCCUCCGCUUCUAUGGAACUAACCCCAAACACAAGGCAUCGCACAUGCCGAACGACCCCCGCUUCUGCGACUUCGCAGGUUCGAGCUUCCUUCCGCUCCUGCGCCUUCUUUUGCUUCUGCGCCCCACGCUUCGCUUCUGCGCUUGCGCAGAUGCGGCCAAAACUCCGCACCUGCGAUCCUUCCCUUGGCUGACUUUCUCCGCUUCUACGACCCAUGGGCCACUUUUGCAACCCCGCUCCUACGGCCAAAACCUCGCAGGUGCGGUUACACCAGGUGACAACAGUUUCAAUAUUUCAUAACGGCAAAUUCGAUCCGUUAACCACCCGAAAUCCAUCCGAGGCCCCCAGAACCUUAACCAAUUAUACCAACACAUCCCAAAACACAUUACGAACUUAGUCAAGGCCUCAAAUCACCCCAAACAACUUCGAAACUACGAAUCACCCUCCAAUUCAAACCUAAUGAACUUUGAAGCUUCAAACUUCUACCUUCGAUGCCGAAACCUAUCAAAUCACGUCCGAUUGACCUUAAAUUUUGCACACAAGUCAUAACUGACAUUACGGACCUACUCCAACUUUCGGGAUCGAAAUCCGACCCCGAUAUCAAAAGGUCCACUCCCGGUCAAACGUUUCAAAAACCUUCAAAUUUCUAACUUUCGCCAAUGACCCGAAAUGACCUACGGACCUCCAAAUCCACUUCUGGAUACGCUCCCAAUACGAGAAUCACCAUUCGAAGCUAUUCCCGGACUCAGAAUCCCAAACGGACAUCGGUUGCAUUGAAUUGCACUCCAACCCAAAUUUAUGAAAUCCUUCCAAAAUGCAAACUUCCACAAUAGGUGCCGAAACGCUCCCGGGUCAUCCAAAAACCGAUCCGGACAUACGUCCAAGUCCAAAAUCUUCUAAUCCCUAUUCUGAGGUCAUUUACUCAAAAAUCAAAACUUAGUUAAUUCUUCCAACUUAAAGCUUCCGAAAUUAGAAUUUUCUUUCCAAAUCAAUUCUGAACUUUCCAAAAUCCAAUUCCGACCACGCGCACAAGUCAUAAUACCUGAAGUGAAACUACUCAAGGCCUCAAACCGCUGAACAACGCACUGGAGCUCAAAGCGACCGAUCAGGUCAUUACAUUCUCUCACACUUUAACAUACAUUCGUCCUCAAACGUACUAAGAACUGCUCUGGAGUUGUCCGAAAUCAUUGUUUAAUACCUCAUGAACCUACCCGUGCUACCAUAACCCAGUGGAGCACAUUAGCUCGAACAAACUUAAAAAUCCUCCCUUUUAUCUAGCCAAAUAAGCAUUAGAGCCAAAUUCCAACAUCUGAAAUCCUCUACCAGGUCUGUUUCCAACAUACGAACACUGUAUCCAUCACUACACGAUGCACCAAUACAUGAUUGCAUACCUUUACUGAAUUCAUACCAUGCAUCAUGUAACUCACAUGACCAUAAUAAUAUCCUCUGACAACAAUAGUCGAAAUCCCACGAAUCUGAUGCCCACAUGUACCUCACGAAGCAUAUAAGUCCCAUUUCAACUCUCGCAAUACUGCCACAACAGAAAGGAUGUGAAGAAAUUCAUAACCAACUUUCGAGUCGACAAUUUAUUGAGUCCCUCGUCCUAACAAGGUCCAUUACCCCAUUAUGAACCAAAUAACAAUAUUUGUUUUUUAACAUGCCUCAUAUAAUUUGAUCGUACUGAUUCCAGAUCCAAUAAUCUUGUCUCACCCAGUAUAAGUUGUUCCAUCAAUAAUCCACCACAAACACUACCAAAGAUCUCAUAUGAUGCCACCAUGUGCCAACAAACCACAAACUUGCAUGUGAUACAUAAGGAAAAACAAACUCCGGAAAGAACUACUCAACCCACGUGACUAAUUAAACAACCGAAAAGAUGUUAUGAACCUUUUUCAGAAAAUGAGAAGCAAAACACACAAAAAUAGGUACAGGGAACUGUACUCAACAUCACACUGUUGCAACGUGCAACCCGAUCCACACAUGAUACCGUUACGGCGUGCAAUCCGAUCCAACCAUGAUACCUAUGGCGGCGUGCCACCCGAUCCAAACAACAUACCUGUGGCGGUAUGCCACUCGAUACACGCAUAAUAAUCUAAAGAAAACACACCUCGAGCCGUAACGCUCAUGCUCACGAAACCCCGAAUAUCAACCAUAAGCAUACCAAGUGCAUAAUACAAAUCCUGGGGAGACGGGUAGCGUCAUAUGCUAUAAAACUCAAGCACAACUAAGGUGCAAAAAAUGACCUGCAUCUCGAGAGCCAUCCUGCUCAUAUAACACCACAAACUAUACGGGAUCUCAAUACGAGUGUGAAUAAUCAAACCGCCUCACAACCCACAUGGCACAAUAGAGACUACGCGGAAGGGCCGACAACAUAAAUAACAUCCAAGGCCCGAAAACCCCUCCGAAAAUAGUGUUAUGCUGAAAUGAACACAUCCGGCCUGAUAUAGAGCCCACAUUCAUAUUUAGAUCCAUCCACCGACCUCAAGUCGAUUCUGAUUGUACCGCACUGGGAUAAUAACCUUUCAAGGAUCCACAACACCCUUUUUCCCAUGACAUACAAGAACAACCGUCAAAUCCGGAACAAACUUCCACAAUUCACAACCAACUGAAUAGAGCGCCUUUCAUGCCUAAACUCUCAUAUUAGCGAUAGUACCAAAUCCCCAUACUUGGUUUCAAAUCUUUAAUCAAUCAAGUGACUACAUGUCACACUUAUACAAUCUUCCCGUGGGAUACGCUCCCACGACCUUCCGCACCAGGUAACAAGUCUACACAUUCAUACCACUGGCCACACCAAUGUUGUAAAGCAAAUCAAGAAGCCACAAAUCGGUACACAAAGCCUCUUACACAGGACACCGAUCUCAGGUGAUGCCAAAGAUAAUACCAACUUUCUCUAGACAUCUAAAUUCUUCCUUGAUCAUCCGAGCUCAUGACAUUCUUGUCAACACCGAACUGUAACCUUGAUCCUCAGCUUCCAGUUACCCAUGCCGCUCGCUGCACCUAACAUGCCAAUACAUGAGAGUACCAGAAUUCUAUAAUAACCCCUGAUCCCCUAAUAUAAUAAACACUUCAUCAUUUAGAAACCUUUUACUUAGCUCAUUUCAGAAGAACCAAUGCAACACACAACUAAAUUCCCAAACCGCAGAACAAAUACACCCUCAUGUCGUAAUCUUAACUGCCAUAACUCUCUCGGAAAUCCCUUUACACAAUAAAGCCAUACGAAUCGAAUACCUCCCAAAUCAAACAAGUUGUGGUGGCGCUCAAGCCCAAGUGUACAACCAUAAACCACAUGUAGAAAUUCAUGCUGGAGAAGCUGGUCACUGCCAUAACCGUGCUGAUUCAACCAUUCCCAACCGAGCCACUUUUUCUACUUUACUCGGGACUUGCCCUAGAAAUAAUAUUAACUCCAUUCAAAAUAUCAUGAACCCAAAUCCGAACUCAUCCUGAGUGACCUUAUUUCAUAAGACCACGUUGUCUCCAAAACCCACGAACCAUCUCAUACCCUCCUUAUGCGCAUAUUCGCAUCUUCAACUUGUAUACCCAUUAUGAAAAUCCAUCUAUGAAUCCAAAGUUAUUUUCUCUUAUUCCUCCAAUGCCACACCGCAGACCGAAGAUACCGCAAAACACUCCAAGCCACUUUUCACAAUCCACUGCAAAAGCUCAAUACUUAAACCAUACUACUGGCUCGAAAUUCUUAGGCACCGCACUUUGACUUGUUCCCAAUUAUGAUCAAACUCGAAGGCCCUGCUGGCACAUGAACACCCUCUCAAAGAAGCAACCGGCUGAAUUCCUUUCCUUGUACAUCACAUCUACACGAAGAAUAAACUCUGAGUAUUUCCAAAGCCUGAACAUGAAUCGAUGAGGCCAAUUAUAGCAUACAUUCCUCAAAUCAUUGGCUCAAAUCACCACUGAUAUUCUCUUUCCUUAGUCGUAACAACCCAUUAAUAUGCCGAUAACCAGAAACCUCACAAGUAGACACCCAUGCAAUCCAAUCAUAGGCGGUGGGGCUCUCCCACUUAAGCUUGAAGCUACCAUUAUAUGACCCUGGAACCUACCAGGAUUCCUUCUCCCUUACCGACAUGACCUCGCGCAAUCGACCCGCCAAAUUCCUCCAAAUCCUUAUGUUAACCAUUUCAUGAAUACUCUGAAUCACUAGCCAUAUUUACAUAUUCGACCUCUUACCGGAUAGCCAGUAAAAUUCUUCGUAGAAAAUUCAUCAACACCACACAACAGUUAACCUUGUCGUCGAAAAUAACCCACCUGUGGAAAUUCCAUGUCGACAUCUUCCAACAAUGCUGCACCGGGUACCAUUACUAUGAAAUCCUUAAACCAUCCUGAGCUUGUGCUUAUUCACCAGUUGUACAAGCUCGUUCACUCCUCAUUGACAUCAACUAAGCGUGCGACGAUACAUUCCAAUCCAAAGUCAUGUUGUAUCCUUCUUCAUAUCAAGCAACUCCUCUCCGUCGUGUCCAACCUUCCUCCGUAUAGUAGCCAAUAUUCCAAAUUAAGCCCGUAGACCCGGUCACUAUCCACCAUGAAUUCCAAAUCACUCUUAACUUUCCUCAAGGCAUGUAUCUAUCGUACCACAGAACCCAUAUGCUACUCUGCAACUCUCCCACUUUGGUCAAACCCUCUCCUUUAAGCAACUAUCCGACUUCCGUUUCUCAUACUUGGCCUUCUAGAAAUUUAACCACCGCAAGACACCUCCCACAUGUUCUUCCUCAUCCUUCCCUGUCCAGUUGAUGCCUUAAAUCAAAAUCUAUUUCUGUAACACUUGAACCAAUAGAUCGCUGCCAACUUUAAACCUUUCCGAAGAUCCUCUUUCUCGAUCCAUCAACACUAGAAACACCGAUUCGAUUCUGAAAUCGCUACACCCUGUUAUUAGUGACAAUCGCCUCUCCAACACCAUUUCACAAUGCCCCGCCCCGAAGGCGAAUUGAUGAAGACCAUAACAUCGGCGAACUUAACACAUUCAAUUCAGGGCGACGACACCACAUCACAGAUAAAUAUUCCACCAUGCNNNNNNNNNNNNNNNNNNNNNNNNNNNNNNNNNNNNNNNNNNNNNNNNNNNNNNNNNNNNNNNNNNNNNNNNNNNNNNNNNNNNNNNNNNNNNNNNNNNNNNNNNNNNNNNNNNNNNNNNNNNNNNNNNNNNNNNNNNNNNNNNNNNNNNNNNNNNNNNNNNNNNNNNNNNNNNNNNNNNNNNNNNNNNNNNNNNNNNNNNNNNNNNNNNNNNNNNNNNNNNNNNNNNNNNNNNNNNNNNNNNNNNNNNNNNNNNNNNNNNAUUCAUAGUCUGAUUGUCAUUCCUUCACCGAAAACAAAAUACUGGAUCUCUGAAUCAUGCAUUGAGUAAACCUCUUUCCAUGUCAUUCACUGCUUCGACGCAUAAACGAGCAUCCUACCAUUACACAAACACGAUGCGAUAGCAACGCAUGAAUCGUUAUAACAAUAAAUGCCAAGCCUGUAUACCAUUAAAAUUCCUUGAUUCCCAAUUUAUAACAAGCGUUUCAUGUUGCAUAAGACUGAAUAGGAUGUGAUGGCGCCGGACACCGCUAUCAGGCAAGCCAAAAAUAAAUACUUAACUUGGUUCUCAUUUUAAUAUUUUUUUGAAAAUCACAUUUCCUUCAAUUAAAUAGUAAAAGAUGAAAUUUAAAAAAUAAAUAAUAAUAUUUUUAACAAUCUCAAUACAGGACAACCCAUAACCACCCCAAAACCCGGUGUCAUAAGUGCAUAAGCCUCAACUAGGAAUGUAAAAUAAAAUACAACAUCUGUCCGGAAUACAAAUUCGGACAGGAGAAAUAUAAAUACUCUGAAGGAGACUUUGCUGGUUGUGGACUCGUAACAUGGAAUGCGGCUCACCCAAGUCUCUGCAAUAACCGCGCCUAUGCGCCCACUAGGCCUCUAGACAUAUAUGCACCUGCACAAAAAUGUAUAGCAAGUGUAGUACGAGUACGUAAAUCAAUGCGUACCCAGUAAGUAUCCCGCCUAACCUCGAAGAAAUAGUGACGAGGGGUCGACGUCGACACUUACUAUGGGCUAUAAAUAAAACGUUGAUGAUAUAAUUAAGCACGGCUUACGUAGAAUGGCAAUAAGCUCAAUAUCAUGAAAUAAGUAAACAAUUCUUUUGUUCAUAUGAAAUUUCCAAAUUUAUUUUCGUCAUUUAACAUUUUUGGACCUCGGGCCAAUGAAAACAAUAUCAAUUAUUAUCAAUUCCAAAGAUAUAUCAUGCGCAAAUCAUGUCGAGAUCGUACGGCCCUCUCCAACAUAAAUAUUUAAACUUUGUACUGCCGAGGGUCGAAUGGCACGAAUCAUAGAUGCAUCUAUUUAACCUGCUGAGGCGUUCGGCCCGCUCCACAAAAGAGAAAAUACACAUUAAACAACCAAUUCAAGAUUUAUUAAGGGAAAAAUAUUCCUAAAUAUUAAAUUCUCAUUUAACGGUCAAGUAAAUAAAGUUUAACCUUUUUAAAGUUCCUUUACCAAGUUUCGAUAUGAUUUAAGCAAUUUAAAUUAACAAGUAGGAUGCAAGCAUCGCAGUUAUAACAUGAUCUGGGUCCUAGACUACCCGGACAUAAACAUAUUUGUAGCUACGCACUGACUCUCAUCACCUCGUGCGUACGUAUCCCCCACAAAUAGAAGCACAUAUUGAAUUAUUUCACCUAUGGGGCUAAUUCCUCCUUACAAGGUUACAAAGGAGACUUACCUUGCUCCGAAGUUCCAUAGCCGACUCCCAAGCCUUUCCAAUAACUCAAACCAAUGCAUAUCGCUCCAAAUCUAAUCAAUAAAGGUGCAAAUUCACAAAACAUAUACUCUAAUAAUCAUAAUAAUUCAAUUUAUAACAAUUUCCUACUCCGCUCGAAAAAUCGAUAAAGUAACCCUCGGGCCGACGUGCCCGAAUUCCAAAUAUUUUUGAAGAUAACUAUUAUCCAUGACCUCACAAACUCAAAUAUAUAAUUCUUUUACAAUUCCAUGCAAAUAUUCAUGGUCAAAAUCCAAAAAUACCCAUUUCUAGGUUGUUCUUCAAAAUCCCAAAUUUCUACAAAUGUUCAUGCUUGAAUCCAUGUAUAAAUCUUAUAUUUAACUCACAGUACGCAGAAAUCACUUACCUUGACAUAGAUGAUGAAAAUCCCUCCUUGAAGCUCUCCAAAAUUGCCCCAAUCAAGUGAAAAAUGGGGGAAAACUGAGCCAAGUCCCGCUCUUAAAUCAAUCUGCCUAGCGAUAUUUUUGCACCUGCGGAACAGUAGCCGUGCCUGCGGCGUCGCUUCUGCGACCACGCCUCCGCUUCUACGAAACUAACCCCAAGCACAAGGCAUCGCACCUGCAGAACGACCCCCGCUUCUGCGACUUCACAGAUGCGAGCUUUAUUCCGCUCCUGCGCCUUCUUCCGCUUCUGCGCCCCACGCUUCACUUCUACGCUUGCGCAGAUGCGGCUAAAACUACGUACCUGCGGUCCUUGCCCUGGCUGACUUGCUCCGCUUCUGCAACCCAUGGGCGACUUCUGCAGCCCCACACCUGCAGCCAAAACCUCGCAGGUGCGGUUACACCAGGUGACAGCAGCUUCAGCAUUUCAUAAGGCCAAAUUCGAUCCGUUCACCACCCGAAAUCCACCCGAGGCCCCCGACACCUUAACCAAUUAUACCAACACAUCCCAAAACACAUUACGAACUUAGUAGAGGCCUCAAAUCACGCCAAACAACAUCGAAACUACGAAUCACCCUCCAAUUCAAACCUAAUAAACUUUGAAGCUUCAAACUUCUACAUUCGAUGCUGAAACCUAUCAAAUCACGUCCGAUUGAACUCAGAUUUUGUACACAAGUCAUAACUGACAUUACAGACCUAUUCCAACUUUCAAGAUCGGAAUCUGACCGCGAUAUCAUAAAGUCCACUCCCGGUCAAACUCCCCAAAAACCUUUAAAUUUCUAACUUUCGCUAAAUGACCCCGAAAUGACCUACGGACCUCUAAAUCCACUUCCGAAUGCGCACCCAAUACCAAAAUUACCAUACGGAACUAUUCCCAGACUCAGAACCCCAAACAGACAUCGAUAGCAUUGAAAUGCACUCCAACCUAAAUUUAUAAAAUUCUUCCAAAAUGCCAAGUUCCACAAUAGGCGCUGAAACGCUCUCAGGUCAUCCAAAACCCGAUCCGGAUAUUCGCCCAAGUCCAAAAUCAUCAUAUGAACAUGUGGAACCUUACAAUCCCAAUUCUGAGGUCGUUUACUCUAAAAUCAAACUUAGUCAAUUCUUUCAACUUUAAGCUUCCGAAAAUUGAAUUUUCUUUCCAAAUCAAUUUCGAACUUCCCGAAAUUCAAUUCUGACCACGUGCACAAGUCAUAAUACCUGAAGUAAAGCUACUCAAGGCUUCAAACUACCGAAUGACGUGCUGGAGCUCAGAACGACCGAUCGGGUCAUUACAAAAUGCCUUUUCCAGGUCGAGUUUCAUAAGCAUGUGAGGAAUUUUCCCUUUCAUGCGCUGAAAUGUAUUAAUAAUUUCUUGGACCAUAAUAGCAUUAUUUGUCGCGCACCUAUUUUGUUGA